rnacentral:rRNA from 1 species
GAUGAACGCUGGCGGCGUGCCUAAUACAUGCAAGUAGAACGCUGAAGGAGGAGCUUGCUCUUCUGGAUGAGUUGCGAACGGGUGAGUAACGCGUAGGUAACCUGCCUGGUAGCGGGGGAUAACUAUUGGAAACGAUAGCUAAUACCGCAUGACAACAGUUAUUGCAUGAUAACUGUUUAAAAGGGGCAACUGCUCCACUACCAGAUGGACCUGCGUUGUAUUAGCUAGUUGGUGAGGUAACGGCUCACCAAGGCGACGAUACAUAGCCGACCUGAGAGGGUGAUCCGCCACACUGGGACUGGGAAACGGCCCAGACUCCUACGGGGAGCAGCAGUAGGGAAUCUUCGGCAAUGGACGGAAGUCUGACCGAGCAACGCCGCGUGAGUGAAGAAGGUUUUCGGAUCGUAAAGCUCUGUUGUAAGAGAAGAACGAGUGUGAGAGUGGAAAGUUCACACUGUGACGGUAUCUUACCAGAAAGGGACGGCUAACUACGUG